rnacentral:piRNA from 1 species
UAAUUUGGGAUAGAUGAACUCAUGAUGGU